CGCACCCGACUCCGACCAGUCGGUACUGCGGUUCAAAAACACAAGGCGAGAGGAGUCGGUUCCAGUGGUUGUGUACGCAGACAUGGAGAGUUUGUUGGUUCGUGCCGAGCAACAAGUGUCCAAGUACUGUACGGUUACACAAGAUCACCAGGCGAUGAUCUACUGUUUCUAUGUGGUACGCCAUUCUAAGGUGUUGCCGAAAAAUAUUUGCGAUGGACUACCAAACGAACCGGUACUGUACCGGGGACUGGAUGCGGUCAAACACUUUAUCACGACGUUGGUAACCAUUGGUAAACGCAUAUCGGACAUAAUGAAUGUGAACAUCGAUAUGACGCCACUGACACCGGAGGAACAACUACGUUUCGAUACAACGAAUAAUUGCGAGUUGUGUUCAAUUAGGUUCACGGAUAAAGUAAAAAAAGUCAAGGAUCACAACCACUGGACGGCUCGGUUUCCUUCCGUUUUGUGUAACAAAUGCAACCUGUAACGACGUCCACCGGCCUUUAUCAUACACGGUCUGUCCAACUACGACUCGCACAUGAUUAUCCCAGAAUUGGCGUACGACGAUAAAAACAUAUAUAUCAUUGCACAGUCCGAAAAAAAGUACAUCAUGUUCAGCAAGACCAUAGAUGAUUAUUUUCGUAUCCGGUUCAUAGAUUCCUAUCGGUUUCUACAAGCUAGUUUAUCUAAGCUGACCGCCACAUUGUCGACACCGGAUUUCGUGCAUACACACAAAGUGUUUGAAUCGCUGGAGUUGGUCACCCUAAAAUCUGUUUUUCCGUACGAGUACGUCGACUGUUGGGAGAGGCUCGAAGAAACACGAUUGCCGCCCCGUGACCAAUUUUACAGCUCGAUCACGCAUCAGACGGUGUCCGAGGAAGACUAUGAACACGGUAAAAAAAUGUGGCAACACUUCAGUUGCAACACUCUCGGUGAUUACAGCGACAAGUAUUUACUUGUUGACGUAAUGAUACUGGCCGAUGUGUUUGAAAAAUUUCGGAAGGAAAGUCUGACAAAUUAUAAACUCGAUCCCGCACAUUAUUUUUCGUGUCCGGCAUUGUCGUUCGAUGCAAUGUUGAAGUACACGGACGCAUACAUUGAACUAUUGACGGACCCGGAUAUGUUGUUGAUGUUCGAAAUGGGUAUACGCGGAGGUUUACGCAAGUUAAUCAGCGGUAUGCUCGAGCAAACCACCCAGAUGUCCCCGACUACAACCCCGAUUUGCCUCACAAAUACCUUCAGUAUUUGGACGCUACUAAUUUGUACGGGACAGCCAUGAUGGAACCUAUUCCGUUUGGAUAUUUUGAGUGGUCGACGGCAACGCUGGAAGAAGUACUGAACACCCCCGACGACGGUGAUUACGGAUACCUGGUGGAAAUCGAUGCACAUUAUCCUCGUGAAUUGCACGAUUUACACAAUGAUUUACCAUUUUUUCCGGUAAACGAGCGAUCACCGUUGUCGUCUUCGAAACACAGCAAGUUGAUGACCACGUUACAACCAAAACGUGGUUAUAUCGUGCACUACCGCGCACUAAAACUAGCUGUGAAACACGGUGUGAUCAUAAAAAACUGCAUAAAUGUAUAAAAUUUAUGCAAUCCCGCUGGUUGGCACCGUACAUUCAGUUGAACACGGAAUUGCGUAAAAAAGCGACCACCACAUUUGGACAAAACAUGGCUAAACUGAUGAUCAACUCAAACUAUGGAAAAACAUUGGAGAACGUACGGAAACACCAAAACAUACAACUCGUGUGCAACCCAAAGAAACUGUCGAGAUUAGCGGCAAAACCGUCGUUUAGUCACACCAUCGUAUUCAACAAAAAUCUGGUUGCCGUGCACAUGUAUAAGGAGAAGAUCAAUUUUUACAAACCCAUUUUUAUUGGACAGGCCAUAUUGGAUAUAAGUAAAUGUAUAAUGUACAAGUUCCAUUACGAGGUUAUGAUGCCGUUGUACGGACCCGAGCGACUUCUACUCUGUUACAUGGACACCGAUAGUUUCAUUUACUUGAUAACGACCAACUGAUUCCACGAUGAUUUGAAAAAGUACUUACUAGAAUAUUUCGACACGUCGAAUUACCCGAUCGAUCACCCUUGUUACACCGAUCGACGAAAAAAACAACCGGGCACGUUUACUGAUGAAUGCAAGGGUAAGCAUAUACAAGAAAUUAUCGCAUUGUUACCCAAAGUGUACGCUUAUUCAAUAGCCAUACAAAAUUACUACGACAGGUUGUUGGUUACGUGGCAAACGGACGAGGUGAAGCGAUUGAAAGGCAUGAGCAUGGGUGUGGUGAAACAUGAAAUCAAAAUGGUUGUCUAUUUGAAUUGCUUGCGUGGUACACUCAAGCAAACCCGCAGGGAAAUGUCCGUAAUACGCACGAAACACCAUAGUGUUUCGACGGUUGAAAUUAAUAAACUCGCGUUGGUCAACAACAACAACUACGAUAAGCGGGCGUUAAUCGGUGACGAAGGAGAGUACAAGGACGUGUAUACAAAAGCGUGGGGGCAUUAUUCUCUGGUCGAUGAUGACCACAAUGACGACGACGAAGAAACAAAUUAAACUCAAAGUGUAAAUUAUUUAUAUUUAAUAAA